rnacentral:rRNA from 1 species
AAUCAACGCUGGCGGCGUGCCUAACACAUGCAAGUCGAACGCGAAAGGGGGCAACCCUGAGUAGAGUGGCGUCCGGGUGAGUAACACGUGGAUAAUCUACCUUUGGGUGAGGAAUAACUUUCCGAAAGGGGAGCUAAUACCGCAUAACACGACGAGGAGGCAUUCUUUUUGUCGUCGAAAGGCGGGGGAUCGCAAGACCUCGCGCCUGAAGAGGAGUCCGCGGCCGAUUAGCUAGUUGGNGAGGUAAAGGCUCACCAAGGCAACGAUCGGUAGCCGGCCUGAGAGGGUGGUCGGCCACACUGGCACUGAAACACGGGCCAGACUCCUACGGGAGGCAGCAGUGGGGAAUUUUGGGCAAUGGCCGAAAGGCUGACCCAG